GGCCAGACUCCUACGGGAGGCAGCAGUGGGGAAUAUUGCACAAUGGGGGGAACCCUGAUGCAGCGACGCCGCGUGGGUGAAGGAGCACCUCGGUGCGUAAAGCUCUAUCAGCAGGGAAGAAAAUGACGGUACCUGACUAAGGAGCCCCGGCUAACUACGUGCCAGCAGCCGCGGUAAUACGUAGGGGGCAAGCGUUAUCCGGAUUUACUGGGUGUAAAGGGAGCGUAGACGGCGGUGCAAGCCAGAUGUGAAAGCCCGGGGCUCAACCCCGGGACUGCAUUUGGAACUGUGCUGCUAGAGUGUCGGAGAGGCAGGCGGAAUUCCUAGUGUAGCGGUGAAAUGCGUAGAUAUUAGGAGGAACACCAGUGGCGAAGGCGGCCUGCUGGACGACAACUGACGCUGAGGCGCGAAAGCGUGGGGAGCAAACAGGAUUAGAUACCCGGGUAGC
rnacentral:rRNA from 1 species